rnacentral:tRNA from 1 species
GGGGGUGUCUGUGACUCAGUGGCAGAGCCUCUGCUUUGGAUUCAGAAGGACCCAGGUUCGAUCUCCGGCAUCUCCA